rnacentral:guide_RNA from 1 species
AAUCAAACAAACAAGAUGAUAGAAAAUCAGAGGUUAAUGUUAUAUAAG